UAAAUACUCCCUCCGUCCGGAAAUACUCGUCGGAGGAAUGCAUAAAAAUCAAUGUAUCUAGAACUAAAAUACAUCUAGAUACAUCCAUUCCUCCGACGAGUAUUUCCGGACGGAGGAAGUAUGUA
rfam:Triticum aestivum genome assembly, contig: Triticum_aestivum_CS42_TGACv1_scaffold_375817_5AL